GUCGGGAGGGCGACUAAUACAAUACCCGUAAGGGAAAUAAGUCCGCGGUUCUUUAGGCCGUUCUGAACCUCCUGACACCACUAU
rnacentral:ncRNA from 24 species